CACGGGGGGAGCAAGCGUUGUUCGGAAUCAUUGGGCGUAAAGAGCGCGUAGGCGGCCAGAUAAGUCCGGUGUGAAAGUCAAAGGCUCAACCUUUGAAUGCCGCUGGAAACUGUCUGGCUAGAGUCCGGGAGGGGCGAGUGGAAUUCCCGGUGUAGCGGUGAAAUGCGCAGAUAUCGGGGAGGAACACCGGUGGCGAAGGCGGUUCUCUGGGGCCUUACCUGACGCUGAGGAGCGAAAGCGUGGGGAGCGAACAGG
rnacentral:rRNA from 1 species